UUGUCAUCAUCUUCGUGGAGACCAUCUCUUAUACGAGUUCAUCCUGUAACUAAUUAAUCCCGGAGAUAUCUCGAUUCAGCCGAUUUCGUUGCCCCUACUCCACGAAAUCCUCUCCAUAUAAACUCCCCCAUCGGCCUCUCUCUGUUUUCGCAAAAUUCGCAAACCAUAAUUUCUCCACGAUCGAAAUCCGAUCUCGCCAGAGUACAGCCGCCACCAAGCUCGACGACGAGACAAGAACCCGCACACGAGGUCGUCAGAGUUUCGCCGUACUUCGCCACCUCCAGCCGGAGCUUGCAGCCGCUCGGAACCAUGAAGACCCCUGCCGAGGACGCGAACUACACCGUGAAAAGCUGCACCUCGCAGUCAUCUUCAUAGAGUCCUACGACCACCAUGUCACCGCCAUCUUCCUCGUUGCCACCCUGCGUCGCUCAUCGCGCUACUUUCCAGAGCCCGGAACCGUCGGACGGCUGCCUUCACGUACAUGGGAGUUUGAGAGCAGGACUGCAGGAGACCGGAGAGGAACGUCCGUGUGGCCGCCACGCUGUACACGCCUCGCUGAACCAGAGUCCGCCGGAGCGCCGCUAUCAACCACGUACGACCCCGUCGUCUUCGUAAGCACCGGCCUGCCUGCUGCUGAUUUAUUCGGAGUGCGAGCGAAAUUCACAAGGAAGAAAUCAUCGUCAAAUAUUACUAAGG